AGAAACCACCAAGCGCCAUAGAAAAAGAUGCAUAUGAGAGUCCAACAGAGUUGCAAGUGGCACUAUCAAAUGGACUUCCAUCCUCGCUACAGAUUGCAGGGACAACGAUCAGGAGAAGAUUUCCCAAGUUUCCUGACGAACACGUAGCGAUAACAAGCCCUUCAAGAUGAGGCUGGGGUUUCAGAAUCUUAACAACUAUCCACCCAAGAAUUCCUCCAAUUAAGAAGGUAAGUCCAAUAUUAACAGGCAUAAACCACCAUGAGAUAAUGUCCUGGAGUGUCACAGUUUUGGCCAGACUAGCGAACAUAAGAGAGGGUGUAAACACCAUGAACACAAUCUUGUUUAAGGAUCUUCGAGCAUCAGUUGUAAGAAGACUGCAGUAAUUAGUUGCCAUGAAAGCUCCCAAACUACUGAUUAGUAGGACUUGUAGAAUUGGCAUAGAUGCCACCUCAAACAGUGUCCAGAAACCCAUCUUGUCGUUUUAUUUCUGUUUCAGAAAUGUAUAUUAUUUUCUGCUCUGAAUUCCUUUGUUUGUUGCUAUUUCCUUUUUUUUUUUUUUUU
rnacentral:misc_RNA from 1 species